rnacentral:rRNA from 1 species
GAGUUUGAUCCUGGCUCAGAACGAACGCUGGCGGCGCGUUUUAAGCAUGCAAGUCGAGCGGUAAGCCAACUUCGGUUGGCCUAGAGCGGCGGACGGGUGAGUAACACGUGGAUAAUCUACCCCCUUGUUUGGGAUAGCUUGUGGAAACAUGAGGUAAUACCGAAUGAGUUUCUUUUAUCAUAAGAUAAGAGAAGGAAAGGCGCUUUACAGCGUCGCAAGGGGAUGAGUCCGCGGCCCAUUAGCUAGACGGCAGGGUAAAAGCCUACCGUGGCAAUGAUGGGUAGCCGGCCUGAGAGGGUGAUCGGCCACAUUGGAACUGAGAUACGGUCCAGACUCCUACGGGGGGCAGCAGCUAAGAAUCUUCCGCAAUGGACGAAAGUCUGACGGAGCGACGCCGCGUGAACGAUGAAGGCCGUGAGGUUGUAAAGUUCUUUUCGAGAGGAGAAAUAAGGUCUGCAGGAAAUGGUAGAUUGAUGAUGUUAAUCUCGGAAUAAGCCCCGGCUAACUACGUGCCAGCAGCCGCGGUAACACGUAGGGGGCAAGCGUUGUUCGGAAUUAUUGGGCGUAAAGGGCGUGUAGGCGGCUUUACAAGUCUGACGUGAAAUAUCUCGGCUUAACCGAGGGAACGCGUUGGAAACUGUGAGGCUUGAGUAUAGAAGGGGACAUUGGAAUUCCAGGUGUAGGGGUGAAAUCUGUAGAUAUCUGGAAGAACACCGGUGGCGAAGGCGAAUGUCUGGUCAUAUACUGACGCUGAGACGCGAAG